rnacentral:rRNA from 1 species
CCUACGGGGGGCAGCAGUGAGGAAUAUUGGUCAAUGGGCGCGAGCCUGAACCAGCAAAGUAGCGUGAAGGAUGACUGCCCUACGGGUUGUAAACUUCUUUUAUAAAGGAAUAAAGUGAGGAACGUGUGCCUUUUUGUCUGUACUUUAUGAAUAAGGAUCGGCUAACUCCGUGCCAGCAGCCGCGGUAAUACGGAGGAUCCGAGAGUUAUCCGGAUUUAUUGGGUUUAAAGGGAGCGUAGAUGGGUUGUUAAGUCAGUUGUGAAAGUUUGCGGCUCAACCGUAAAAUUGCAAUUGAUACUGGCAGCCUUGAGUACAGUUGAGGUAGGCGGAAUUCGUGGUGUAGCGGUGAAAUGCUUAGAUAGCACGAAGAACACCGAUUGCGAAGGCAGCUUACUAAACUGCCACUGACAUUGAUGCUCGAAAGUGUGGGUAUCAAACAGGAUUAGAUACCCCUGUAGUC